CCUACGGGGGGCAGCAGUUAGGAAUUUUGGGCAAUGGGCGGAAGCCUGACCCAGCAACGCCGCGUGGGUGACGAAGGCCCUCGGGUCGUAAAGCCCUUUUCCCAGGGAAGAUAGUGACGGUACCUGGGGAAUCAGCCCCGGCUAACUACGUGCCAGCAGCCGCGGUAAUACGUAGGGGGCAAGCGUUGUCCGGAUUUAUUGGGCGUAAAGCGCUCGCAGGUGGUCCAGUGCGUCGUGCGUGAAAGCCCCCGGCUCAACUGGGGAGUGUCGUGCGA
rnacentral:rRNA from 1 species